rnacentral:misc_RNA from 1 species
AUUUAUUCUUGUGUUUUAUUUUUUGUUCAUUUUUUCCUUGUAUAGUUACUGUAGUAUAUGGUUGUUGGACAAGUUAGUGCAGAUUGGCUUUGUUUCUAAUUUUUUCCCGCAUAUUCUGUAUUGUUAUCUUGUUUUUAACGUUGUAUGUUCGCAAGAAGUAUCUCACUUUUAUUAUUGAAGAUAUCUAAACUCUCAUUUACUAUUGGAGAUUAUGUAUACUGAUUCUGCAUGUGUGCGCACCUUCUGUUGAAAUACUGGAAUCAAAGUUGCCAUUUCUGUUAGCCAUUUAGUAUUUUAA